UGCCGCUGGGCGCCGCUCCCCGCCGGAGCACGUGGGUUUGACACACGCUCGGCGGCGGGAAGAGCGGCACCGAGCGGCUCCUCCUCACGCCGGAGCGGCCGCGCUGAUUCUCUCCCCCCCCCCCCCCCCCGCCCCUCUCCUCAGCCCCACAGAGGGGCAGCGGCCGAGCCGGGCACCUCUGCGACACCCCCCCCCCACCACCACCACCAGUAUACAGCCCUCGCUGGGCGCCGUGGGGUUCCCCCCGCCCCGCGCCCCCUCAUGCAACCGCGGGCAGAGGCAGGCCGGUGCCGGCGGUGGGCUCCGGGCCUGGGGAGGGGGCACUUGUGGAGCUACAGGGCAGGCGUGUGUGAAAUAAAUCGACGGCGAACGUUUGCCCACGCGGCGUCUUCGUUUUUUUUUUUCUCAAAGUCUCUGCCCCGGCCCCGGAGAAGGGAACGCGUUGGCGGCCCCGGCUUGCAGGCCGGCAGCACGGGUUGCUUUCUGACCCACAGGCCUUGGCAGACGUCGAGGCUCUGUCCGCCUGAGGGGGAAGAAGGGAAGGCAAAGGCCUUUGGAACGCAUCAUGGAGGUUUCUCAACAUUUUCGAACUCGCGGGGGGGGUUUCGUUGUAGUUGAGUUUCCCUGGGGUGUUUCGGUUCGCGGAGUCACCUUCAACUCGCCACCUUCAAGGAGGGUUGGCAGAUAUUUCGGGAAGGUGGAAGCCCCGUGAGGAAUCGGAUACCUGCACCUCGUCCUCAGAGGAGCGAGUGGUGGACAGCCCUCCUCAGCCAGGGACUCCUGUACUAAAAUGUUCCCGUGACCCAGAGCCAUUCCACAUAUUUUGGAGAGUCAGCCGGAGGGGAAAGAAACCUUUAGUGCUGUUCUGGAGCCAGAGAAAAGUAAAAGGGAAGCCCCAAAGCCACUUCCUCUCCUAGUUUUAACAGUCCCUAUGUCCUGGCAGUUCUCCCUACCGUCAGCCUUCCGGAUACUGUCAGAAGAAGAGUCCAGGUGUUGUCAGCUCUGGGAUCUAGGAAGUGGUGUGGCCAUAACAGAGGAGCACCUAGACAUCUUAAUCCUGUCCUUCAUACUGUCAAAGAAUACCUGGAAGAAGCCUAAUAAAUGUGGAAAUACUUCAAACUUUUUUUUUUUUUUAAAAUAACAGUGUUAAUUUUAGAGAACAUUUUGGGCCAACUCUGAAGCAGGCACUGUUGUGAAGAAAUCAUCAGUAUAAAUUGUGUUCUGCAAGGGGAAAAGAGACACAAACACGAUUUUUUUUAAGAAAAAAUGUGUGCUAUAUCUGUGUCAUUCCCAUGUUACCUUUAACUAUUGGAGGUUUAAGAAAGAAGAUAGCUGAUUACUGCUAAAGCUCUGUGAGGAAGAUCGCCAGUUUCCCAGGGCUGUAUUUCCGUGAUUUAAGUUGGCAUUUUGCACUUAAGUCUUUGUGACAACUAUGCUUUCCUCAUCACCCCAUCUUCUGAACUUUGAGCAACUGAAGGCCCCAUGCAAACUGAGAUGAGGCUGCCCAGCUGUGCAGAUGUGAUUGUGUCCUGUGAUGUGGGAGCAGCUCCCUUUCUCCACCUGGUUGUGGUAUGCAGCUACAGUCAAGAGAAGCGUGCCUUGGUUGGCUCCUGAGCAAUGUGCCAUCUUUUCUCCUGCUUCAAGGCUCACAGAUGUAGUUGGCUGGUGGACUGAUCAGCUGGAUCCAGCCUCUGUCUUUGAGGAGCUGAAGAGAAUGUGUGCACCAUAUUGCUUGUGAUGAAAUAUAGCAGGCCAGAGAAGAUGGUUGUGAUUCAGAGAGAACACAUCACUGAAAACCAUAGACCUAGCUGGUACCCUCAAACUGUGGGAUCUGCCAUCUCUGGAAAAGCAUGUACCAGGCUUGAGCCUUGGAGAAAGUUGUCUGCUUGCUCUUGGUGGAGGCUGAAGUUGUUCUGCGCUGCCUUUUUGGACUGGGUGAAUCUGGGAAGCUGAGUGGCAAACGGUAACCUUUUCCUCUGCUUUUAGCGAGCAUCCAAGCAGCACUGCCUCGAACGCUGCCAGCGAGGAGAGACAGGGACGGGCAAGAAGUUCCUGGUGCUGGAGAAGGGAGCGGGUCUGGCUCAGCAAGCAGACGGGGAGCCAGGCCUGCGGAGGGGGCCGGUAGAAACAUGGGCUACAGCUGGUCUGUUGAGCAGGACGGGAGCUGGUGAAGAAAAGGAUAUGGGCUGGAGGGCAGGGAGCUCUGAGGAGGGAGAAGGAACUGAAGAAGGUUUCAUGCCUGCAGCAUGGACAUAGCAUUAGAAAACAGAGCGCCAAGGUGCUCUUUCCUGCUCUCCUCCCUCCCUUUCCCAUUUUCUUGGCUUCAUCACCUGAAAACUGAAUCACAUAUCAGCUGGUGUGAGGUCUGGUUAAGUGGCAUCCCUACCUUUCCCUAAACUGCUUGGGCAGGUACCCCUAACUAAGUCUGUAUCCUAGUGCAUUAAGGGACAAAUCAAGGUUAUAUAUGAAGGUUGUACUCAGUGUGAGCUUCUUUAUAAACAACAGCAAAAAUUUUCAUUGCUUGGCUUCAACAGUUUUAGCAUUUGUAAGGUAUUUGAGUGCAGAGUAUACUACAUCUGGUAGAAAAAUAGCUAUUUUCAUGCUGUGAGUACUUAUUUUUCCACUUGGGAUACUUUUUCUAUCAUUUCAGUAAGAUACUCUAGUCUUCAGUCCUUACUGAAAGAGAGAGAGAGUCCAGACUUUCAUGGUGUAAAUAGGCAUCACUAACUUAAGGUUUGCAUUUCAAGGUUUAGCUUUACCACAAAGUACUGUAUAUUCUUCUUUUGGGAAUCUACAUUCUUGUUCAUAUAUACAAUAUGUAGCCUCUGUUCCUCAAAAAUAAAUCUUAACCAGUUGUGAUCAUGAGAUAAACCCCAACACUUGAAUUGCCUGACUUUGAAAAUGACUGGUAGCACCUUUUAUACUUGAGUGCAUAGGCAUGAAACUGGACCCUUUGGAAUAAUGAAGAAGUUAAAUGAUAGCCCAACUGAAAAAUUGUCAUCUGUUAUUGUGACAGAUUAUUUAUGCUCGAGAAUGAUUAGUGAAUGGGGGGAAAGGAAGGUGGCAAACAUCAAAACAAGUAAUUUAUCCUAGUGUUCUUAGUUUUCCUACCUUUUACAUAAGAGUGCUGGACGUAUUCAUGUAUCAGUGAGAUGGAGGAACUUCCUUCAUCAGCGACCAACACAGUCCGAUACAUCCACAGCUAGAGAGGGACAAUACUAGGGACGCCAGUUAUGCUGCCUCAGGGGAGAAGGAAUGUAAUUUCAGAGAGAGCAGGGCAGGAGGACAUCAGCAUGUAACUACCCUAGCAGAAAAUCGAUAUAUUUCUGAGCACAAAGCCACUUGUAACUUUUAAUAUUGAGGCUGCCAAAUACAGUGGGAAGUUAGUUGCUUUUGAUGC